rnacentral:rRNA from 1 species
UACAGAGACUGCAAGCGUUAUUCGGAUUCACUGGGCGUAAAGGGUGCGCAGGCGGCCAAGUGUGUGAGGCGUGAAAGCCCGGGGCUUAACCCCGGAAUUGCACCUCAAACUAUUUGGCUAGAGCAUUGGAGAGGGUAGCAGAAUUCACGGUGUAGCAGUGAAAUGCGUAGAUAUCGUGAGGAAUACCAGAGGCGAAGGCGGNUACCUGGACAAUUGCUGACGCUCAGGCNCGAAAGCU